rnacentral:rRNA from 1 species
GUGUCAGCAGCCGCGGUAAUACGGGGGGUGCAAGCGUUAUUCGGAUUUACUGGGCGUAAAGCGCGCGCAGGCGGUUUUGUAAGUCAGAUGUGAAAGCCCUGGGCUCAACCCGGGAAGUGCAUCUGAUACUGCAAGACUUGAGUAUGGGAGAGGGAAGUGGAAUUCCUGGUGUAGAGGUGAAAUUCGUAGAUAUCAGGAGGAACAUCGGUGGCGAAGGCGACUUCCUGGACCAAUACUGACGCUGAGGCGCGAAGGCGUGGGGAGCAAACAGGAUUAGAAACCCGCGUAGUCC